AAGAUAUUUGAUAUAUUUGAUGUGCCAAAUUAUAUUACGAUUUAGUAAAUUAAAUAGAGAGCUAUAAAAAAUUUCUUUGAUAUCUUUUAGGAACCUAGGAUUCUAAGGACAUCUGGUCCUCUUGAGGAAUGAAGUCGGAAAGGUAAUGAAAUCGAAUUUUUAAAUUUUAGAGGAUGGCUUAUUGCGAUUUGGGAUAGAGUGUGUGUUCGAAAUGACCCAAAUUAUGAUUUGAAUAUUAAGAGGAAAUGGCAUGACUCAAUGAUAUCGAUGACUCAUUCAAUAAAUUUAGAAAGGGCAACUAUGAGAAAGGUGGUAUCGGAGCAUGAUUUAAGGAUUACUAAUAUAUUUGAUUCAUUUGAUGUGCAAAAUGAUAUUGAGGUUUAGUAAAAGACAUCUGGUCCUUUUGAGGAAUGAAGUAGGAAAGGUAGUGAAGUCGAAAUUUUAAAUUUUCGAGGAUGGCUUAUUGAGAUUUGGGAUUGAGUGUGUUUUCGAUCUAACCCAAAUUAUAAUUUGAAUAUUAUCAUAAAAGGGUAUGAAUUAAUGAUAUUGAUGGCCUCUAUCUAUGUGCAAUCUGAUCUCUUUCAAUAAAUUUAGAAAUGGUAUCUAAGGGAUACACAUUUAAUCUACUUGAGGAUUGAACUAGAAAAUUGAUUGAAGUCGAAUUUUUAAAUUUUGGACGAUGGCAUUUUGUGUUUUGGGAAAGAGUUUGUGUUCUAAAUGAUCAAAUUAUCAAUAACCAAAUCCUGAAGCAAAGUCAUAAUUCAAAGUAUGUGAUAAUUUGUAUUAUGGAGUUUUAGACAAGGUCACACUUCUUGUAUAUAAUAAUUUGGGGGGCUUGUCAAAAGUGGUAUCGGAGCAUGAUUUAAGAAUUACUAAGAUAUUUGAUUCAUUUUAUGUGAAAAAUUAUAUUGAGGUUUAGUAAAGACAUCUGGUCUUCAUGAGGAAUGAAGUAGGAAAGGUAGUGAAGUCGAAUUUUUAAAUUUUAGAGGAUGGCUUUUUGAGAUUUGGGAUAGGCUGUGUUUUCGAACUGACCCAAAUUAUGAUUUGAAUAUUAUGAUAAAAGGGCAUGAUUUAAUGAUUUUGAUGGCUCUAUCUAUGUGCAAUCUGAUCUCAUUCAACAAAUUUAGAAAUGGCAACUAUGAGAUCCACAUAUAGUCUACUUGAGGAAUGAAGUAGAAAAGGAAUUUAAGUCGAAUUUUUAAACUUUGGAGGAUGGCCUUUUGAGUUUUGGAAUAGAGUAUGUGUUCUAAAUGAUCCAAUUAUCAAUAACCAAAUCCUGAAGCAGGGUAAUAAUUCAAAGUAUGUGAUAAUACGGAUUAGAUUGUUGAUUACAUUUUUAUUUUAUGGAUUUUAAGAAAAGCUCGCACCUCUUGUAAGUGAUAAUUUAGGGGGCGUGACAAAGGUGUUAUCGGAGCAUGAUUUAAGAUUUACUAAGAUAUUUGAUUCAUUUGAUGUGCAAAAUGAUAUAGAGGUUUAGGAAAGUCAUCUGGUCCUCUUGAGGAAUGAAGUAGGAAAGGUAGUGAAGUCGAAAUUUUAAAUUUUCGAGGAUGGCUUAUUGAGAUUUGGGAUUGAGUGUGUGUUCGAACUGACCCAAAUUAUGAUUUGAAUAGUAUGAUAAAAGGGCAUGACUUAAUGAUAUUGAUGACCUCUUUCUAUGUGCAAUCUGAUCUCUUUCAACAAAUUUAGAAACGGCAUCUAAGGGAUACACAUUUAAUCUACCUGACAAAUGAAGUAGAAAAGGGAUUGAAGUCGAAUUUUUAAAUUUUGGACGAUGGCCUUUUGUGUUUUGGGAUAUAGUAUGUUUUCUAAAUGACCCAAUUAUCAAUAACCAAAUCCUGAAGCAAAGUCAUAAUUCAAAGUAUGUGAUAAUUUGAGGAUCAGAUUGUUGAUUACAUUUUAAUUUUUUUGAUUUUCAGACAAGGUCACACCUCUUGUAUAUGAUAAUUUGGGGGGCGUGACAAAGGUGGUAUCGGAGCAUGAUUUAAGGAUUACUAAGAUAUUUGAUUCAUUUGAUGUUCAAAAUUAUAUUGAGGUUUAGUAAAUUAUAUAGAGAUCGAUGAAAAUUAUAUUUGAUGUCUUCUAGGAAUCUAGGAUGACAUCGACAUUUGGUCUUCUUGCUUAUGAAUUGUGGAUUAUGGGUGUGAAUUAUGACUUGAACGAUUUUUGGUGUCCCCAUAUUUAGUUUGGAUUUUGUAUUAGAUUGUUGAUUAAAUUUUAAUAUUUUGGAUUUUAAGACAGGGUCCCACCUCCUAAAUGUGAUAAUUCGGGGGGCGUGACAAAGGUGGUAUCAGAACAUUAUUUGAGGAUCACUGUAAGAUAUUUGAUACAUUUGAUUUGCCAAAUUAUAUUACGAUUUAGUAAAUUAAAUAGAGAGCGAUAAAAUAUUUCUUUGAUAUCUUUUAGGAACCUAGGAUUCCAAGGACAUCUGGUCCCCUUGAGGAAUGAAGUCGGAAAGGUAAUGAAAUCGAAUUUUUAAAUUUUAGAGGAUGGAUUAUUACAAUUUGGGAUAGAGUUUGUGUUCAAAAUGACCCGAAUUAUGAUUUGAAUAUUAAGAGGAAAUGGCAUGACUCAAUGAUAUCGAUGGCUCUAUCUAUGUGCAAUCUGAUCUCAUUCAACAAAUUUAGAAAGGGCAACUAUGAGAUCCACAUAUAAUCUACUUGAGGAAUGAAGUAGAAAAGGAAUUUAAGUUGAAUUUUUAAAUUUUGGAGGAUGGCCUUUUGAGUUUUGGAAUAGAGUAUGUGUUCUAAAUGAUCCAAUUAUCAAUAACCAAAUCCUGAAGCAGGGUAAUAAUUCAAAGUAUGUGAUAAUACGGAUUAGAUUGUUGAUUACAUUUUUAUUUUAUUGAUUUUAAGACAAGCUCGCACCUCUUGUAUGUGAUAAUUUGGGGGGCGUGACAAAGGUGGUAUCGGAGCAUGAUUUAAGGAUUACUAAGAUAUUUGAUUCAUUUGAUGUGCAAAAUGAUAU
rnacentral:lncRNA from 1 species